rnacentral:tRNA from 1 species
GAGAAAGAACGCAAGAACUGCUAAUUCCUGCAACCAUACAUAAAACUAUGGCUUCCUCA